GCGUGGGAACGUGCCCUUCUCUACGGAAUAGCCCCGGGAAACUGGGAGUAAUACCGUAUACGCCCUUUGGGGGAAAGAUUUAUCGGAGAAGGAUCGGCCCGCGUUGGAUUAGGUAGUUGGUGGGGUAAUGGCCCACCAAGCCGACGAUCCAUAGCUGGUUUGAGAGGAUGAUCAGCCACACUGGGACUGAGACACGGCCCAGACUCCUACGGGAGGCAGCAGUGGGGAAUCUUAGACAAUGGGGGCAACCCUGAUCUAGCCAUGCCGCGUGAGUGAUGAAGGCCUUAGGGUUGUAAAGCUCUUUCAGCUGGGAAGAUAAUGACGGUACCAGCAGAAGAAGCCCCGGCUAACUCCGUGCCAGCCGCCG
rnacentral:rRNA from 1 species